rnacentral:rRNA from 1 species
UAUAUAAAACAAUAAGGCAUGUAGUGAAUUCCUAGGCACCAUAUAGCGAAGAAGGGCGCUAAAAUGCGAAAAUUUUCGAUGAGUAACAACGUAGAUUCGAAAGUACCCGAAUGGGAUAACCCGUUGCAUAAGCAACAUAUAUAUUUGAAUAUAUAGAAUAUAUAAGCAUACCCAUAGAACUGAAACAUCUUAGUAUAUGGAGGAAAAGAAAUCAAUAGAGAUUCCGUAAGUAGUGGCGAACGAAAGCGGAUUAGGCUAUUCUCCCUUGGGAGAAUACAUAAAUUUUUAAAAUAGCAGAAUUGUAUGGAAAGACAAACAGUAUAAAGUGAUAGUCUUGUAUGCGAAAUUAAGAAAAUUUAUGAAAUAAAGUAGAUGCUUUAAGAUAGCAUUGAAGAACUUAAUGAAAAUUAAGGAGGGUGGUCCAUCAUCCAAGCCUAAAUACAAUAUGGUGACCGAUAGUGAAAAGUACCGCGAGGGAAAGGUGAAAUAAUGUUCGAGUAGAACAGUGAAAUUACAAUGAAACUAUAAUGCUGACAAAAGGGGAUGGCACGCAAUGUUGUGUUUUCCCGUACCUUUUGCAUAAUGAGUCAACGACUUAACAUACUAGGCUGGCUUAAGCUCUUAAUGGAGCGUAGGCAUAGUGAAAGCGAGCUUUAAAUGAGCGAAUUGUCUAUUGUGUUAUACCCGAAAACAAGCGAUCUAAUCAUGUCCAGGCUGAAGAUUUUUAAAUAGAAAAUUGGAGGGCCGAACCAGUGUUUGUUGCAAGAAACUUGGAUGAGGUGUGAUUAGGGGUGAAAGGCCAAUCAAGCUUGUAUUUAGCUGGUUCUCCCUGAAAACUAUUUAAGUAGUGUGUGUUGUAUACCCUAGAGGGGUAAAUCACUUGUUCAAUCCGGCUGAAAGGUUAGGUGAGAGUUAAAAUAAGAAUACUCUAGGUUUAGCAGCAUAAACGGACGGUGGGCGAAAAUGUCAAUCGUCGAGAGGUAAACAAACCAGAUCUUAAGCUAAGGUCCCUAAAUAUUACUAAGUCAAAAGAAUGUUGUAAUUCAAAGACAGUCAGAAUGUUGGCUUGGAAGCAGCCAUCAUCUAAGGAAAGCGUAACAGCUCACUGAUAUAUGUUUUACAGCUUCAAAAAUUUAGAGGGGUUUAAGUAAUAUACCGAAGCUAAGGGGUUAUACUAAGAGAUAUAGUAUAAUCGGUAAGGGAGCGUUCUGUAGGUCUGUGAAGAUGUAUCUGUGAGGAGCAUUGGAGAUAUCAGAAGUGAGGAUGUUGAUAUGAGUAACUAUAAAAUGAGUGAGAAUCUCAUUCGCCGAAAGUCUAAGGUUUCCUUUCAUAGGAUUAUCCGGGAAGGGUUAGUCAGUACCUAAGGAGAGAACGAAAGUUGUAUUCGAUGGACGAGCAGGUUAAUAUUCCUGCACUUUUUAAUAGCGACACAGAGAAAAUUGGUGUAUGAAUUAUGACUAUUUCAUGCUACGAUAAAUCUGUCUAGAAAUAACUAUUAUAUUAAAGCUGUACUAAAACCGACACAGGUAGACUGGUGAAAAACACUAAGGCGUUAAGAGAAUGAUAUUUAAGGAAUUCGGCAAAAUACCCUCGUAACUUAGGGAUAAGAGGGGGUGUAUUGUAGGCAACUAUAAGUACACUGUCACUAAAAAGAAUACAGCGACUGUUUACCAAAAACACAGGCAUCUGCAAAAUUGAGAAAUGAAGUAUUGGUGCUGAGGCCUGCCCAGUGUCCUAAGGUCAAAAGGAGAUGUUUAAAAAGCAUUGAAUAUAAGCCAGGAUAAACGGCGGCGAUAACUAUAAUCGUCCAAAGGUAGCGAAGUUCCUUGUCGAGUAAUUUUCGACGUGCAUGAAAGGUUUAACGACUGUAUUGCUGUCUUAAAUAUCUACUUAGUGAAAUUUUAGUCCCUGUACUAAUACAGGGAACACACGGUUAGACGGAAAGUCCCUAUGACUUUUACUGCAACUUUGUAUUGAUUUAACAUUUAUAGUACGUAGAAUAGAGGGGAGUCUAUGAAGCAUGAUCUUCGGGUUGUGUGGAGACGACAAUGAAAUACCUUCUACUAUAUAAUGUUGAAUCUAACUUAAUAACCAUGAAUCUGGUAUAAGGACAGUGCAUGGGUGGUAGUUUUGCUGGGGCAGCAUUCUCCUAAAGAGUAAUGGAGAAGCACAAAGGUAAGUUCAGUAUGUAUAGAAAGCAUACGAUGAGUGUAAUAAUAUAAACUUGCCUGACUGAGAGACUGACAAGUCGAACAGGCGCGAAAGCGGGUUAUAAUGAUCCUGUAGUACCUCAUGGUAGGGCUACAGCUCAACGGAUAAAAAGUACCAUAGGGAUAACAGAUUAAUCCCUCCUGAGAGACCUUAUCGACGGAGGGGUUUGAUACAUCGAUGUCGGCUCCUAACAUCCUGGGGGUGUAGCAAUUCCCAAGGGUUUGUUUGUUCACCAAUUAAAGUUGGACGUGAGCUGGGUUCAGUGCGUAUAAAACGAAUCCAAAUUUAUUAUUUUAAUAAAUUGACAAAUUACAUUGCGCACUAUAAUAGUAAUAUUAUAGUAUAAAAAAUCUGCUAAUAUCGGUGAAGCCUAAGUUAAAAAACGAGCAUUUAAUAAGGUAAUACCGAGGCAAGAUAUUAAUUUAAUCUUAAUUAAUAUUGUGCCGUAGAGACUGGAGUUUAAUAUAGAUUCACAGAAUUAUUAAACGAAGUAUAUAUAAAUAUUUUAUAUAUAAAUACGCAGAGUUCUUAUUUAAAUUAAGUAAGAAUAUGAUAUAGUCCAUGCCAUUAGAAAUAAUGGAAUAACAUGCGUGAGACAGCUCGGCUCCUAUCUGCCGUGUGCGCGGAAAAUACUGAGAAGAUCAAUUCAUAGUACGAGAGGACCUGAAUUGGUGUGUCAAUGGUGAAACAGUUGUUUUGUCAAAAGCAUAGCUGUAUAGCCAAACACAUGAAAAAUAACUACUGAAAGCAUCUAAGUAGGAAGUUGACUUCAAGAUUAGUAUUGAGAAGGUGUUCAAGAACAGGACGUUGAUAGGCUUGAUGUGUAAGAUUGGCAACAAUUUUAGCAGACAAGUACUAAUACCUUCGUUAUUUUUAUAUA